CAACAGCCAUUAUUUACUUGAUCUUGAUAUCCUACUUGGAUAACUGUGGUAAUUCUAGAGCUAAUACAUGCACCAAAGCUCCGAUUUUUUGACGAGCGCAUUUAUUAGAACAAAACCAAUCGGGUGAACGCCCGCCCAUUGGUGACUCUGAAUAACUUCAGCUGAUCGCAUGGUCUUGUACCGGCGACGUGUCUAUCAAGUGUCUGCCUUAUCAACUGUCGAUGGUAGUUUAUGUGCCUACCAUGGUGGUAACGGGUAACGGAGAAUAAGGGUUCGACUCCGGAGAGGGAGCCUGAGAAACGGCUACCACAUCCAAGGAAGGCAGCAGGCGCGCAAAUUACCCACUCUCGGCACGAGGAGGUAGUGACGAAAAAUAACGGGACCGUUCUCUAUGAGGCCGGUUAUCGGAAUGGGUACAAUUUAAACCCUUUAACGAGGAUCUAUGAGAGGGCAAGUCUGGUGCCAGCAGCCGCGGUAAUUCCAGCUCUCAAAGUGUAUAUCGUCAUUGCUGCGGUUAAAAAGCUCGUAGUUGGAUCUGCGCCGCAGAAUCUGGUCCACCCACUGGGUGAGAACUGGACUUCUCGGCUAAUACUGCUGGUUUUCCCUACGUUGCCUUCACCGGUCGCGUAGGGUGGCUAGCGAGUUUACUUUGAAAAAAUUAAAGUGCUUAACACAGGCUGGUGCCUGAAUAUUCGUGCAUGGAAUAAUGGAAUAGGAUCUCGGUUCUAUUUUGUUGGUUUUCUGAUCUGAGAUAAUGGUUAAGAGGGACAGACGGGGGCAUUCGUAUCGCUGCGUGAGAGGUGAAAUUCUUGGACCGUAGCGAGACGUCCGACUGCGAAAGCAUUUGCCAAGAAUGUCUUCAUUAAUCAAGAACGAAAGUCAGAGGUUCGA
rnacentral:rRNA from 1 species